rnacentral:rRNA from 1 species
GGUCAAGCGGGUAAGGGCAUAUGGUGGAUGCCUUGGCAUCAAGGGCCGAUGAAGGGCGUGGUACGACUGCGAUAAGCCCCGGUGAGCUGUCUAGCAAGCCUAGCCGGGGAUUCCCGAAUGGGGCAACCCACUCAGGUAAAACCUGAGUACCCCCAGCUGAACACAUAGGCUGGGUGGAGGUAAGCAGGGGAAGUGAAACAUCUCAGUACCCUGAGGAAAGGAAAUUAUUCCCUGAGUAGUGGCGAACGAAAGGGGAAAAGCCCAAAC